UACGACUACAUAUCAGGCAUAUCAAUAAGCGGAGGAAAAGAAACUAACAAGGAUUCCCCUAGUAACGGCGAGUGAAGCGGGAAGAGCUCAAAUUUGAAAUCUUAAAGGGUUUCCCUUUACGAAUUGUAGUUUAAAGAAGUGUUUCCUGUUGGAGUUUCGGUAAAAUUUCUUUGGAAUAGGACAUCAUAGAGGGUGAGAAUCCCGUAUUUGACCGUUAUUUUCAGCUGUGUGAUACACUUUCAAAGAGUCGGAUUGUUUGGGAAUGCAGUCCAAAAUGGGUGGUAAAUUUCAUCUAAAGCUAAAUAUUGGCGAGAGACCGAUAGCGAACAAGUACCGUGAGGGAAAGAUGAAAAGAACUUUGAAAAGAGAGUUAAACAGUACGUGAAAUUGUCAAAAGGGAAGCGUUUGACACCAGUGUUGUUUAGUUGAAAAUCAAUUAAAUAGUUUUCGAUUUUAAGUAGUAUUGACCUUAUCAGCUUGCUGCUUUCUUCUCGGAAAUUAUUUAAUGCACUUUUCAGUUAACAAGUCAACAUCAAUUUCUUUUGUUGUAAAAAGGUAAGAGGAAGGUGGCUUGCGCUUCGGCUCAAGUGUUUAUAGCCUUUUACUUCUGCAAUCGGAGAGAUUGAGGUCUGCAGCGUAGAUCCUUCGGGGUUAGAUACAUUUGUGCUAAGCUAUAGCCUUGUAUAGACAACUUGUUGACUAUGCUCAGUCAUGUAGCUUACUCGCUUAUGCUAUUUUACCUACGCUUAGGAUGUUGACGCGCGUGUGUGCGUG
rnacentral:rRNA from 1 species